CUUGAAGUGGUAACCUUUGUCUGGACUGCUCACAAUGCAGUCAGGGGCUCACGUGACUGAAUGGAGCUCUAUACAAAAAAAAAAACAGCACAUCCGAGAAAAGGGUCCUAGGCUAGCCUUCUUCCUGACAUGCAUCAUUGUGAACCCCAGGGACCGGCAGUCCAAAGCGGUCAUCACAUCAGUAAGAGCUAACCUCAGUUUUGUCAUUCAAAGGAAAUAACCAAACCAAACAUGUGCAACGUUACUGUCGUUUCUAAUGGAAACAGUUAUAUGGAAUCUGUUUUUGCUAACCACAACUCAGAUGUGAUGCCGCUAACACAGGAAGAGCUGAAACAGGUGCUACGUCAAAGCAGGCAGCAAAACAGGGACAGGUUUCUGCCACACAGUCCGAUCCUGAUCUAUCAAGAAGAAAUUCUGAAAUGUGAUCCAACGGGGUCUCUCCCAAGACUAGAGGGCUGCCAAUAGUUGGCUUUGGGAAACUCUGAAGCCUAAGCAUUCUACAGAGGAUAUGAGAAUCACUCCAACAAAAGGGCCCAUAGUCCCCAACUUUCAGAAUUUUAUUGUGAACCUCAUCAUUUAGGGGAAUUCUGAACAUGUCUGAAAUCACAAUGCUCAAGGCUAUUGACUGUGGCAAAAAAAGAAAGAAGAAACACCUAGAUUAGGGCAUGGUCUAACCGAAGGUUGGAAAAUAUUGGGAUAGCAAGAUGGCGUCGGGAAUGAAAAUUACUGACUAAACCACCUGUCAGGAUUUUCAUCAAUCAUUUGGUCUUAUCACCUUCCAUCGGUCAGAUGGAGGUCAGUAGGUGUGCAGGGCUCUGUCCUCCUCCUCGAGUGAGUCUAGAGGGUCUUCAGACCUUGAAAGCCCUGGAUGAACAUCUGGAGAGACCUUCCUGCAAUCAUCAGACUGAAUGGAGAGGCUUCCACUGCCUAAUUACUGACGACCUGCUCUUUUCUUCUUAUCUUUACUAAUACAUCUCUGAGAUGUCCACGGCCGUGAGUUUGGCAGAUUUACAAUGUUGCUGGUUUUUUAAAAUCUCUCUUUACUGAAAGCUUUUGCUUACUUUUCGCUAUUUUUACUUUGCUGGAGAUCUCAGUAUUCCAAUGCUAACAGCUUUCAGUUUUUGUCUUGAAGAAUUUUUUGAAAUGUCUGAUAUCCCAGCAAUUACUUAUUUCUUAUUUUAUUCUUGAACUUUAAAUUACUCACAGCAUUUGUUGGAGUCUAUUAAGGGGUUUUUCUUCUUCUCCCUAUCUCUUCGUGAACCUCCAUCUCCCCCACUUCAAACUUUCCGGCAGAUAAGUAUUUGCAGUGGAGAAGACGACAGGCUUGGAUAGAAGAAUGGCUUGUUUUUUCUCUUUUGAUUUGGUUUUUUUACCUUACCGUUUUCGCAGAGCCACAUAUCUAACCAGUUCAUGUCUGUCUUACAAAGCCCUACUUGGACAAACUCUGUUUACCUGCUUUCUGGGAGGAUUUGUCUUUUGACUGCUCUGAAAAGUUCCAUUUACAGCUCCUUCUGUUUGCAGGGCUGACAAAGUGUUUUAUCACCCUUUCGUCAUUAACUAUCUACCCAAGCUCUGACUGGAGAAACGAAAGUGUUGGGACAGAGUUAGCUGAGACUGUGACUUUACUUUGAAGAAUUCCAUACCUCCUACUUGGCUGAGCUGGAGUGAUGAAGAUUUAUAAUAGAACAAACCUGAAAGUUUUAAUUUUACUUGAAAGUUUACUUGCUUCAGCUGUUUACUUUGUGUGUAUUAACAGUAUUAUUUGGCUUUUAGCUGCGGUGAGGUCUAAGCGGAAGGAUUUCAAUUGGAGCGAUUUCUUUGCGCAGAAGCUUUUUCUUAGGUAUUUCAAGGUUACAGUCCUGGCACUGUUUUGUCUCUCCUGUAUGAGAAAAUGUCUCUGGACACAGUUUCUAAGAUUUCACGUUAAGCCUUUGCUGGGUGAGCAGGUAGAUUCUCAAAGCCUUAAAGAUUUUAAAUGUUGACUCCCACUUUUUUCUUUGAUGCAUUUCUCUUUCUCUUUGACUUUUCAAGAUUAAUUCAAGGUUUAUUUUAUCUAAAGGUUUUAACUUUGAGUAUAAGCAUAUAUUGUACCUCAUUAAUUGGCUUGCCAAUGUAUUCCCUGUGUUCAAUGCACUUUCUUCAAUGUAUUUCUGUAUUGCUUUUCCUCUUUUUUCCCCCUUUCCUUUUCCUACCAAACAAUAUUUAGGGAAUUCCAUACAGGGUCUAAUAUUGAAAUAACCUCAGCACUUAAAGUCUUAACCUAAGGAGUUAACAAGUAACAGCAUGAUUGAAACUGAAUUAUAUGUGAUUACUUUGGGUUUCAUUUGUAGCUGUAACCCAGAUAAUACCAAGCCUUAAUACUUGGCCCCUCAAGGCAUGCCCCUCAAGGCAUUCCCUGUCCUUUAUAUUUUAAACAAUAAUAUUUAGGGAGUUCUAAAUUAGGUCCAAUAUGGGUAACAAGCUAAUCAGGAAUUAAGUUGCAUUGUGGGAACCCGAUGGUCUAAUAGACCUGAGGAAUUGUCACAUAUAUCUUCUUGUUUUUUCUUUUUUAGGGACAUAAUGAGAAUGUAUUAAGAAAGGGGGAUUUAGGGAUGAAUUGAGAAUAUCCUUGCAAACUUACUGACUGACUGACUUGCAAACUUAAUUUUUAGAAACAAAUAUCGCAACAAUGCAAACAUAUCCAAAUAUAUGGAACAGGAUUGUUGGUUUUUCCUUACCACAGGUCAUUAUAGUUUUAAAGGGAUAAGAAUUACAGCUGAAGGGUACUCUGUUUCUUCUAUUAGUUUCAGUUUACUAUUCCCUCCUCUCUUCCCACAGGUUUUUAUUACUUGUUAUGAAUAACUGAAUAAUAAUAAUUAUACUUAAUAAUGACACUUUGAGAAGUUUAGCUGAAAGCAAACAAUUGGAAGCAAAUUGUGAAGGAUCAGAUACAUGUAUACAGGGGAUAAUGUAUUGCCAUUUUUUUUGCUCCCAGUUGUAGGUUACAAAGAUCAGUCAAGGCUGAAUUUUGUCCCCUUCAUUUAUCUCUCCAGUAUGUUUAUUUGGUUUUCAUUACAGAGGAGUGGGACUACUAAAGGUUUAGCUGAUCUUUGUUCAUUAUUUUACUAUGGUUUUUGUAUUCCAGUUUGCGAUUGAAUUUCAUGAACUGGUGGAUAUGUGGCUUUGUAUUUAUAACACACAUUACUUCUGGUAUGCCAGAAUUAGCAUUUUUAACUCCUAUUUUCUUCUCCAUUGGAUAAUCUUGGUUGAAACCAUUUUGCAUAUAUAGUUGCCCAAUAAUUAACUGAAUUUAGGGGGAAUGUUCUGUGAGAGUUCUAAAUUCUACUCCCUCUGAUGAUUAGGUUUUUAGUCGAGCCUACAGACAUUAACAAGCCUUCUCUGUAUAGCUGUUUGAAUCUCCCACAGAUUUUUUAGGAGGUAGCCGAAUGAUUUUUGGAGGAGAGAGCUAGUAUGAAGGGAUUGAAGCAACUUAAGGUUUGAUUUGAACACAGUGACAUAUAGAACUAACAUAUGUCUUGCCUGAGAGAUCUUUCCCCUUUAUUGUAUGGAUAUUACACUAUUAUAAAUGGUACUGAAGUGAACUUAAUAAUGUAUAUUAGGAUAUAUUUGAGACAUAUUUGAAGUACACCUGAAAUUACACAUUUGUUUUUGAGCUCUUAUGUAGGAUUAAUCUUUAUUUAGAUUCCUGUAUUUGUUAUCCAUAACAUUGAAAUUCAUUUGGAAGAGAACUGUUCAGCACCUUGCUGGUGAAGUCUGCUGCUGUGGUUCCUAUUGUAAACUGGUUAUUUGGUUGGAUAGAACAAGGCAUUUAAAAUUCUUUGAAUUCAUUUUCAGUUUGGCCAGAAUCAUGGAUGACCUGUGAUCAUUCUACAUCGUCUCAGCCCACCAGCUUAACAUAUAAGUUAAUAUAUUAUAUCUCUCAUUUAAUGUUGAUGGGAUGGAAAAGGUUAGAAGAUCCAUGAUUUGUUUAGGAAACUUUCUUUGUUGAGUAUUGGAGAAUAACAUACUACAAAACAUACUUUAUUAAAUAUAUACGUUACAAGACAUAGUUAUCCCACUUAUUGAAAGUUUUAAUAAAUUUUGUUUCUUAUGAUUACUCAUACGGGUCUUAAUUCAGAAGUAGGUUAAUUGCUUAAACACUACAACCCUACUAAUAAGAAUUCCUUAUAUAAAUUCAGGGUCAAGAGAUGACAGAAUAGUUCCCUGUCCCAUUCCUAGCAUGGUUAAGGAGAUUCCAAACAUCAGUUAUCUGAUCACAGCCACUGGCACGUUCUUUAUGUUGUGAGCAACUCGUUAUGCUCUUGAAAACUGGCAUGCCUGAGCUAGAAAAGAGAAAGAAAACUUGUGCCAAGUUCUGUACUCACCUCACUAUGCUUGUGUUCUCCAUAUUUGCCAUUGAGGUUGGCCAAGUGGCAGUUCUUGUACCACCAGCCACCAUGGUGAGUUAUUGCACAGUUGGUGAUAGCUAUGUCAUUGUCCCUGUCCCAGGUGGUAAAUUUCCGACCAUUAUGGUAAGUCAUGGCAUCCCCUGAAUUAGGCCAGAAAGGGAGCAUUAAGACCAUGGGGAAUCCCUGCUUUAGGAACACAUCUGAUAGCAAAACUAAGACCUGGGAAGACAUGCCUGUAGAGAGGUGUCAGGAAUACAAAGGAACAUCUUUCAAGAUCCAACAUAUAUUGCAGCCAAUUUAAAAGUAACAUGCUACAAAAUCAGAUGAUGCUGUACAGAUAGUGUUAACACCAGCUACCCUUUGAAAAAUGUAGUUAUUUAAACAGAUGUUAGAAACAUGGCCAGCUGUUCGCAUACUUUAUUCUUCACCAGUAAUCAGGUGCGAUUAUUUAGAACUAUGGGAAACAAUUCAAAAUAUCCUGAGGCUAUGUGCUCCUCCAACUGGAUUCCAUAAUGGCCCUUUUUAGUGUUCUUAAAGGAAUCGUUAGGAACAAUAACAAGCUGCUAGUAAUACUGUACAUCUGUCACUGUGUACUUCAGCCUGUAAUACAGCAGCCAGAGUGCAGAUGGCAAGUCUGGAAACCACCUAAUCCUCCUCUGGUAGAGGAAGGAUUUGUGAGACCUUGGGAAAUUGCGAAAUUUAUGGAAGUCACACCUUUGGUUAGAGUAUCAGAUGUUUUUCAGUUGAAAUGGUUUAUCACCUCUUGGGACAGACAAUACACAGAUAUUACUGGCUGGCUGCUUAACGUAAAAUAACAGGAUCAUAGUCCAAUUUUGUGUAAAGUUUAUGUUGUCUAUUUUGUCCUGUUACAUAUACUCUCAUUAUAAAGGUCCAGUCUUGUAGAUGUAACUCUUUGUACAUGUAUAUAUUUCUCUAAAUUACUAAAAAGGUAUGAGGAGGGGGAAGAAAUACAAAGAAAGGCCUAUUGUUUUCUAUGGAAAUAUGCUAAUAAAUUAUAUAAACUGUG